GUAGCAUGAAAAAAGCAUAAGUAGCAUUAUAAUGUGUACUCUAACCAAAUGCUUGUCUUCAUAGGACUAUGAGGAUAAUGACACCAUUUCUGCUACAGAGAGGUCUACAGAGAACUGAGCGCGAUGAGGGUAAAUCCGGAUCUGGACUCCUUUCCCACCAUCAGCAGAAGAACCGAAGGAGAAGAAGCGCCUGACCAAAAACCAGAAGCCAGGGUGGAAGCUCUCACAACACAGCAGCUGGAGGACACAGACCACUGCAUGGAGGCCUCAGCGGCUCCCACAACGUCUGCAGCCAUCACGUUCUGGGCUCAUCAGACUCACCAGCUACUACAAGCCCUGCACCAGCAUAAAAGGACUGUGUCUGAAGCUUCAGAGGCCGUGAAACUGUCUUACAAGCGUGUGUGUCUCAUACAGACACCUGCUUACGACAAUCAGCAAAGGAAAACAAUGAGAAGCAGCAGAGUGAGCUCCAUCUGAGAAGACGUGCUCUGACACAGAUACUGGUUGAAACAACUGGAGAGGCUUCAGACGUGAUUGGCCCAAUAGAGCUGCAUCUGAGCAUCCAGGAAAGGUCUUGUCAUCGAGGAACAACUGUCCCAUCUACGUCAGGCUCCACCCACUGGCGCUCACAUCAGACUGAUGGUUGAGGAAGGAGGAAGAUGACGGUUCCUUUUCACGUGAUGUAGAAGACGGUACCGCAAACACACACACACACACAUUCAUACACAAUGAAGAAACACGCUUACAGCUGAUACACGCUCAAAUUCAUGUUAAUGCUUAUCUGCUUAUUCAUGUUCAUGCUUAUCUGCUUAUUGCAAUGAAAAAUCGCUUUUUGCUCAAAACAUCCCACAGAGUGAUUUUAAAAUGAUGACAAACAGCUAAAUGACAACUGCUGCAUGACUUUACAGUCUGAUGGGUUUAAACUAUUUUACUUGCAACAAAUUCAGUAAUAAAAUCCUCCAUGUUUCUAAACAGAUUUGUGCACACUAUAGGUUUGUCUGGCCAGAUUAGAAGAAAACA